rnacentral:ribozyme from 1 species
AAAAAAAGAAAAGAAAAAGAAAAUACACGGCGUAAAAAUGGCGGAUGUCUCUCUCAUACAGAUUCAAAGUCAUUUUACUUUUUCUACUUUUCU